CAUAUCAAUAAGCGGAGGAAAAGAAACUAACAAGGAUUCCCCUAGUAACUGCGAGUGAAGCGGGAAAAGCUCAAAUUUAAAAUCUGGCAGUCUUUGGCUGUCCGAGUUGUAAUCUAGAGAAGUGUUAUCCACGCUGGACCGUGUACAAGUCUCCUGGAAUGGAGCGUCAUAGAGGGUGAGAAUCCCGUCUUUGACACGGACUGCCAGGGUUUUGUGAUGCGCUCUCAAAGAGUCGAGUUGUUUGGGAAUGCAGCUCAAAAUGGGUGGUAAAUUCCAUCUAAAGCUAAAUAUUGGCGAGAGACCGAUAGCGAACAAGUACCGUGAGGGAAAGAUGAAAAGAACUUUGGAAAGAGAGUUAAACAGUACGUGAAAUUGCUGAAAGGGAAACGCUUGAAGUCAGUCGCGUUGUCCAGGGAUCAACCUUGCUUUUGCUUGGUGCACUUUCUGGUUAACGGGUCAGCAUCAAUUUUGAUCAUUGGAAAAAAGUUGGGGGAAUGUGGCAUCUUCGGAUGUGUUAUAGCCCUUGGUUGUAUACAAUGGUUGGGAUUGAGGAACUCAGCACGCCGCAAGGCCGGGUUUUUAACCACGUACGUGCUUAGGAUGCUGGCAUAAUGGCUUUAAUCGACCCGUCUUGAAACACGGACCAAGGAGUCUAACAUACCUGCGAGUGUUUGGGUGGUAAACCCGAGCGCGUAAUGAAAGUGAAAGUUGAGAUCCCUGUCGCGGGGAGCAUCGACGCCCGGACCAGACCUUUUGUGACGGUUCUGCGGUAGAGCAUGUAUGUUGGGACCCGAAAGAUGGUGAACUAUGCCUGAAUAGGGUGAAGCCAGAGGAAACUCUGGUGGAGGCUCGUAGCGAUUCUGACGUGCAAAUCGAUCGUCAAAUUUGGGUAUAGGGGCGAAAGACUAAUCGAACCAUCUAGUAGCUGG
rnacentral:rRNA from 1 species